GAAAAAUACAGCUCAAGCGAGCCAUAAAGAAGGAAGGAUUGUUAACGUUUCAUCAUUGGGACAUCGAUUUACAUAUCGUGAAGGGAUCCGUUUUGACAAAAUCAAUGACAAAGAUAGUUACACUGCAAUACUUGCUUAUGGACAGUCAAAGCUUGCUAAUAUCUUACACGCUAACGAACUUGCAAGGCAUUUCAAGGAAGAAGGAGCGGAGAUAACUGCUAAUUCACUUCACCCGGGAUCAAUUACUACCAAUCUUCUCCGUCACCAAAGUUUGGUUGAAGGCUUAGUUAACUGGAUUGGCAAAUACUUCAUUAAAAACAUUCCACAGGGAGCAGCAACUACAUGCUAU
rnacentral:misc_RNA from 1 species